UGGCUGAUCUGGUUUCCUCACAAUGGCUUGGCUCUUGCUUCUCUUUACAAUCCUAGUCUCCAUUGGUCCAAGUUUCCAGCAACUGCAGUCCUUGAAGCCCACGGAGGCCGUUUCGAUAGGUGGGACCGUCAUCUUCUCUUGCAGGCUGAGCAGUGGAACCAUCUCUGACAGCAACUACCCUGUCUGGGUGCAGCAGAAGCAGAGCAACACUCCGAGGCUGAUGAUUUACUACACCAGCAGCAGAGCAUCUGGGGUCCCAGACCGUUUCAGUGGGUCGAGGUCAGGGAACACGAUGUCCCUGACCAUCACGGGGGUCCUGUGGAAGACGAAGCAGAUUAUUACUGUGCUGUAUGGACUGGGAGUGUGUGGCACAGCCAUGCAUUCAGAUGGGGAAGCCAUACAGAAGCAACACUGACCCAGCCCAGCUCCUUCUUGGCAUCUCCAGGAAACAUUACUCAACUCUCCUGUACCUUGACGAGCGACAGCAUCACAGCCUACACUGUAAGCUGGUUUCAGCACAAACUUCAGAGCCCUCCAAAACGGCUGCUGUCUUACAAAGAUGCAUCAAGCCAAGGUAAAGCGGCUGGGAUCCCUGAUAGGUUUUCUGCUUCCAAAGACUCCACCAGCAGCACCAGUUAUCUGACCAUCUCUGGGGUCCAAGCAGAAGAUGAUGCUGACUAUUACUGUAUGAUGUCGAAAGGGGGAGAGUAG